rnacentral:rRNA from 1 species
CAGCCGCCGCGGUAAUGCGUAGGUGGCAAGCGUUGUUCGGAAUUAUUGGGCGUAAAGGGUGCGUAGGCGGUUUGAUAAGUCUUGUGUGAAAUCUGUGGGCCCAACCUAUAGUCUGCACAGGAAACUGUCGGGCUUGAGAGUGGGAGAGGUGAGUGGAAUUCCAUGUGUAGCGGUGAAAUGCGUAGAGAUGUGGAGGAACACCAGUGGCGAAGGCGACUCUCUGGUCUGUAACUGACGCUGAGGAGCGAAAGCGUGGGGAGCGAACAGGAUUAGAUACCCCCGUAGUCCCUGUCUCUUAUAC